rnacentral:rRNA from 1 species
GCAAGUCGAACGAGAACGGGUCUUAGCUUGCUAAGACUGUCAGCUAAGUGGCGGACGGGUGAGUAAUGUAUAGUUAAUCUGCCCUUUAGAGGGGGAUAACAGUUGGAAACGACUGCUAAUACCCCAUACUCCUUCUAUGUUAAUCAUAGUUGGGAAACGUUUUUUCGCUAAAGGAUGAGACUAUAUGGUAUCAGGUAGUUGGUGGGGUAAGAGCCCACCAAGCCAAUGACGCCUAGCUGGUCUGAGAGGAUGAUC